UACGUAGGGUGCAAGCGUUGUCCGGAAUUAUUGGGCGUAAAGAGCUCGUAGGCGGUCUGUCGCGUCUGCUGUGAAAACUCGGGGCUUAACCCCGGGCCUGCAGUGGGUACGGGCAGACUAGAGUGCGGUAGGGGAGACUGGAAUUCCUGGUGUAGCAGUGAAAUGCGUAGAUAUCAGGAGGAAUACCGAUGGCGAAGGCAGGUCUCUGGGCUGACACUGACGCUCAUGCACGAAAGCGUGGGGAGCAAACAGG
rnacentral:rRNA from 1 species